rnacentral:sRNA from 1 species
AAAUACUCUGUUUCUCCAAAAUGGUUCUCUAUUAUUGGAAGACGCUGCUAAUGUUAUAUAUAAU